GAUGAACGCUGGCGGCGUGCCUAAUACAUGCAAGUCGAGCGAACGGACGAGAGGCUUGCUUCUCUGAUGUUAGCGGCGGACGGGUGAGUAACACGUGGAUAACCUACCUAUAAGACUGGGAUAACUUCGGGAAACCGGAGCUAGUACCGGAUAAUAUUUUGAACCGCAUGGUUCAAAAGUGAAAGACGGUCUUGCUGUCACUUAUAGAUGGAUCCGCGCUGCAUUAGCUAGUUGGUAAGGUAACGGCUUACCAAGGCAACGAUGCAUAGCCGACCUGAGAGGGUGAUCGGCCACACUGGAACUGAGACACGGUCCAGACUCCUACGGGAGGCAGCAGUAGGGAAUCUUCCGCAAUGGGCGAAAGCCUGACGGAGCAACGCCGCGUGAGUGAUGAAGGUCUUCGGAUCGUAAAACUCUGUUAUUAGGGAAGAACAUAUGUGUAAGUAACUGUGCACAUCUUGACGGUACCUAAUCAGAAAGCCACGGCUAACUACGUG
rnacentral:rRNA from 1 species